rfam:Bacillus thuringiensis serovar israelensis ATCC 35646 sq1830, whole genome shotgun sequence.
AGCUUAUCAAGAGAAGCGGAGGGAACUGGCCCGAAGAAGCUCGGCAACCUGCUUAUAGAAAGCAAGGUGCUAAAUCCAGCAAAAUGGAAUCCAUUUUGAAAGAUAAGGU